UGUUCAGAGUCACGGAUACCAUCUAUC
rnacentral:sRNA from 1 species